GUCGAGAAUUUUUCUCAAUGGGGGAAACCCUGAAGGAGCGACGCCGCGUGGGGGAUGAAUGGCUUCGGCCCGUAAACCCCUGUCAUUCGGGAUCAAACGUUAUUCAUGAAUAAUGGGUAACCUGAUUGUACCGGAAGAGGAAGGGACGGCUAACUCUGUGCCAGCAGCCGCGGUAAUACAGAGGUCCCAAGCGUUGUUCGGAUUUACUGGGCGUAAAGGGUGCGUAGGCGGUGGGGUAAGUUUGAGGUGAAAGCUCCGGGCUCAACCCGGAAAAUGCCUUGAAUACUAUCCCGCUAGAGGUUUGGAGGGGAGACUGGAAUUCUCGGUGUAGCAGUGAAAUGCGUAGAUCUCGAGAGGAACACCAGUGGCGAAGGCGGGUCUCUGGACAACACCUGACGCUGAGGCACGAAAGCCAGGGGAGCAAACGGGAUUAGAUACCCCAGUAGUCC
rnacentral:rRNA from 1 species